GUCCGCAGCCAUAUCACCCAGUAGCCCAAGACUGGUUGCCCACUGUCAGUACCUGAAUGGGAGACCUCCUGGAAAAACUAGGUUGCUGCUGGAA
ensembl:rRNA 5S_rRNA 5S ribosomal RNA